GCACAGCUGUUGCCGGUUCACCUGCCAGCUGAGGCCUCGCGGGGAGGAAGCGGAGAAGAAAAGUUCACAGGAAGGGAAGGAAUCCAGGACUAUCUUGAGCAAGCAGCGCUGGUGAUGCCGUGAUGAGUAACACAACAGAGCAGGAACAAGAGACAUGGCCUCUUCCUUGUGUGUAUCCACACCGCUGUGCACUCACGUCUGGCUGUGGAAUCAGUGACCCAUGCACUGAAAAGACAAGGGAAGUCGUGCUAGUGAGCAUGUGCAGACUUUCUCCUCCUGCCUUGCCUGAGUUAGACAGUCAACCCCUACCACCACCGCGUUUGCCCUGCGCUGGCUGUCCUGAGACACUUAGACAGGACUUGACGGAGUCACGUAGAUUAUACACAAAUACUACGCCAUCCUGUCUGAGAGACUUGAGCAUCCAUGCAUUCAUCCAUGCUCUUCAGGGCUCAUAGAUUCGGUCCCCUGAAGAUAACACAGAAAAACUGAGUCUAUGUCUACAUGCAAAACACCUAACUACAUUCCUGUCUCAACAGAAACCACCAAAGAAACAAGGAUAAGAGGCAGUGGCAGACAGAGUCUGGACUGGCCUCAGCUCCGCAGCGGCAACGCAGCAAAAAGUGGACAAAGAGAAGAAGCAAGAGCAGGGCACAGGACCCAAGCGACAUGAUUUCAGUCUCCCCCGGUGCCGCUAUUUCCUCCGUUACUAAAUGGGAACACAGAGUCCUGGCUUCGGAGGACUGCUGGCAGUGUCAUAGGAAGUAACAUCUGCAAAGUCCCUGGACCGCACUGACAGGAUGGUGGCCACUGCGGUUCAGCUUUCCUCUCCCCAGGCACUGCAGGGCAAUCCUGCUUGCUUGCCAGACAUGAGGAGUGAGGGCCAGCUGGGUGGUGGUGCCACGCGUGCCUUUAAUCCCGGUACACAAAGGCAGGUGGAUCUCUGUGAGUUCAAGGUCAGCCUGGUUUACAGAGCAAGUUCCAGGACAAGCUCCAAAGAAACUCUGCCUCGAAAAACAAAAACAAAAGAGUGAGGGUCAUGAGUGAGAAGCCUCAGCCUGUUGGGUACGCUCUCUGAUUUUGACUGACCACCAGGCCUAUGAAUAGGGUGGCUUGGUAAGCAAGCAGCAAGUCAACUGGUGAGGUGAGGAGAAAACACACUCUGUUCCUGCAAUCCCCCCAGGUAGCUUCAAACUGUCCCUGGGUGCAGCUGCCAUUCAGAUUUUGGCUCCUCCAUCCUGCUUCUCCGUAUCGCUCCCUCUGUCUGUGGCGCCUCCAUCCUGCUUCUCGGUAUCGCUCCCUCUGUCCACUCCCUCUGGGUUCUCCAUCUCAAAUAUAUUCACACAGGACUGACUCAAACCAGUCAGAAGGAAUCUCUCCAGGGAGUGGUUACAUUCUCAUAGGCAAGUGUUCCGUUUGCUUGAGGGAGGGGCUGGAAAGCUUUCUCCCACUACACCGGUGAGAGAACAGGGUUUCAAAGUGUAUGCAUCUGAUUACCCUCCAGUUUGGACCACGCUGGAUUCCGACCAUGGACCCCCACUAAAACUGCUGCUGCAUAUGUCAAGACUCCAUCGGGGCAUGCAUUAUCUGCCACUUCCACCCUCCCACCCAUUAGUGUCAAGUCGGAGGGGAUGCUAAUGACUGAACCACUGAAGGAAAGAGAGAUUGCUCCAGCUGAAUAUGGAGAAGGAGAAGGGAAAGCAAGUUAUUUGUACAGAGAGAUUACACAUUUGCCGGACUGCAAUUCAAAAUUUGCCAAACCUAACCCAUUUUCCAUAAAUUCAUUUACUGA